GCAAUAAUGGUCGAAAGCUAUUGCAUUCUAUAGAUACUGGACAUUCUGCAAACAUAUUCUGUACAAAAUUCAUUCCUGAAACUUCUGAUGAGCUUGUGGUCUGGAGCUGGAGAUGCAGAAGUUCGGUUGUUUAAUUUGUCUCGACUAAGUGGGAGAGGUCCAGAUGAUAAUGCCAUCGCUCCCUCAGCUGUGUAUCAAUG
rnacentral:misc_RNA from 1 species